ensembl:lincRNA
ACAGAGGGUUGGAGAUGUUCAAGUAUAUGUGUUGAGUAUGUCUAGAGAUUAGACCCCAAAGUCUCUGAGUUAAAGGGUUCUUUUGUUGGUCUUUUAGUCUUGGGGCUAGUCCAGGCUGAAUUCUCUGAGGGAUCCAGAAAAUUGAGGAGCCAUAGAGGCUGAAAUUCUGGCUGACCUCUUAAUCUUCCAUGAGAAAAUAAAGGAGAUAAUUGUGGGCCAUACAAUGUUGUCCUUUGCAUUAACUAUAAAGGACUCAGGGUGAGCUUGCUGACCAGAUAUUGAAACAGGAAGACAUUGAGGAUGACUUUAGGAGGAGCUUUGCAUUUGUGUCUCUACAUAGAUGUAAUUUCAUUGGAGGGUAAACUUGCCCUGUUGACCAGAUCACCUAGUUAUACUUGAGAUCCAGGCCAUGGUGACAUAUUACCAUCACUACUAUCAUUAUCUAAUUUCCAUUAUCUAAUUUCCAACUGAGCUCAGUUGGCUAUGGAAAGAGCAUAUUGGUGUCACACGUAAUUCACAUUUUUGCUGAGCAUAAUGUUAGAUCUAGAAGCUCAAUAAAAUCCAGAGGAAGGAACCAAGGGCAUGUAGGAGCAUGGUGACAUUAGUUGUUGCUCCUGAUCUACCUAAUCCCAGUGAUUCAAGUGCAAGACAAUGGAUGUCAUUCAGCUGAGCCUUUGACUGACAAAUAUGGAACUAGGCUGGUUUCAGUCCAAAUUACUUCUUGCCUUUGCUAAAAUGAGUUUCAGAAAUGCCUCUGAGUUCCAGAGAUGCCGUAGCUGGUAUGAUUACUCCAUGCCCGGAUAGGCUGCUAUAGCCAUGGGGAUUUGCCUCUCUCCCUUCCUUCUUCCAUCCUUCUGCCCCCUUGUUUGUCUUUCUUCCUCCUUCUUCCAUUUCUUUCUAUUAAAUAAAUUGCUUUCUAAUUCCUGAGCCUAAUUACUUAUAUUGAUGUUUGUUAUAGAACAGGACAACUGUUCUUAGUUGAGCUCAGUGUCUGUAGGAAUGUUGGGACAGGUGUGCCCAGAGGUGUACUAGCACUCUAGGAAUGUAGCUUCACCUCCUACAUGGUGACCUUCCCACAUAGGAAGUGGCAAUUAAUGUGGCCAGGCUCUAGCACAUAUGUCCACAGAUUAUGCAGGGUGAGCUAAAAGAAACAUUAUUGCUACCAUUAUCAUAAUUAUUGUUACAAGUAGGCUAUGGACAAGAUAUAGUUAUAUAGCCUUUUUACUCUCUUCAAUUUUUUUUGUCUAAAGGAUGCAUAUAAAAUUAACAUCCUAGAUAAACCUCAAAUGGAAUGGACAGAGAAGUCUGAGAUUAAGAGCACAUUAAGUCCAGUAGUGUACCCAAUCUGGAAGCCAUUUUAUUGAAGGUCACCGAUCUCCUCAUACACUUUUUAUGUACUUUGGUAGACCUGGGAACAGAGUUAUUACUAUUAUUAUUUGCUUUGUACACCUUUCAGAUGGAAUAUUUUUUCUUUUCAUAAUCUCCAACACUAUGUGUGUACUGCCACUGCUUCUAACUCUGUGCCAAAUGUCAAGCACAGAAUGGUUGUCAUCUGCUUGCUCUAUCAUUAUCAUUACCUGAUUCCUGCUACUUCUCUGCUCAUCAUCACAGUCAAUACUACCACUUCCACCCAUUAUCAUUACAGCUGUGACCAUUAGGAACAUCAGUGUCACCUCCACUCAUUCUCAUCAUUAUUACCAUCACCCCCACAGCAAUAUCUACUUUAGUGACAUUACCUCUGUUGUCCCAUUAUUACCUCCACUGCCACCAUUAUCAAUGUUAUCAUGGCUAUUGUACUACUUCUAUUCAUUAUCAUCACCACUAACAUCAGCACCAUUACACGUUAGCACAAUUGCUAUUAACGUUAGCAUUGAAAAUACCACCAUCUGUACCACUACCACCUCUACCUCUAUAAUCACCAUCUCAAACACUAGAAUGAUAACAAUCACCUUCACCAUUAUUGCCCUGAUCUGUUCUCAUUGGUAGUGUUACCACUAUUUCUACCACUGCUAUUACAAUCAGCUAGAGGAUAUACUUGAAGGAUAUAUAGCCAUUUCCAAAUAAUUAAAGGUCUUCAGAAGAGAAGUUAAACUUACUAUGUACCAGUAAGGAACUGAGAGGUAGAAAUAUAGACAAAAGUUGUAAGGAAUUAUAAUUAAUAUUGAAGUAAAAUCUUCCAUGGAAUUGGGGGAAGACAGUGGGGUAAAAGUCUAUGAGGAAAUUAUAACAAUUUACUGUGGAAGUUAUGGAUAUUUUUCCCCUAUUGUGUGAAUCCCCUAGAGGGUGCCUUAAGAACAGGAAUGGC